UACAGAGGGUGCGAGCGUUGUUCGGAAUCAUUGGGCGUAAAGAGCGUGUAGGCGGCCAGAAAAGUCCGCUGUGAAAACUCGAGGCUCAACUUCGAGCUGUCGGUGGAAACUUUCUGGCUAGAGUCCGGAAGAGGAGAAUGGAAUUCCUGGUGUAGCGGUGAAAUGCGCAGAUAUCAGGAAGAACACCGGUGGCGAAGGCGGGUCUCUGGGCCAUUACUGACGCUGAGGAGCGAAAGCGUGGGGAGCAAACAGG
rnacentral:rRNA from 1 species